rnacentral:rRNA from 1 species
CAGUCGACGGCAGCACGGGAGCAAUCCUGGUGGCGAGUGGCGAACGGGUGAGUAAUAUAUCGGAACGUGCCCAGUAGUGGGGGAUAGCCCGGCGAAAGCCGGAUUAAUACCGCAUGAGACCUGAGGGUGAAAGCGGGGGAUCGCAAAACCUCGCGCUAUUGGAGCGGCCGAUAUCAGAUUAGCUAGUUGGUGGGGUAAAGGCCCACCAAGGCAACGAUCUGUAGUUGGUCUGAGAGGACGACCAGCCACACUGGGACUGAGACACGGCCCAGACUCCUACGGGAGGCAGCAGUGGGGAAUUUUGGACAAUGGGCGCAAGCCUGAUCCAGCAAUGCCGCGUGCAGGAAGAAGGCCUUCGGGUUGUAAACUGCUUUUGUCAGGGAAGAAGUCCUGCGGGCUAAUAUCCUGCGGGGAUGACGGUACCUGAAGAAUAAGCACCGGCUAACUACGUGCCAGCAGCCGCGGUAAUACGUAGGGUGCGAGCGUUAAUCGGAAUUACUGGGCGUAAAGCGUGCGCAGGCGGCUUUGCAAGACAGAGGUGAAAUCCCCGGGCUCAACCUGGGAACUGCCUUUGUGACUGCAAGGCUAGAGUACGGCAGAGGGGGAUGGAAUUCCGCGUGUAGCAGUGAAAUGCGUAGAUAUGCGGAGGAACACCGAUGGCGAAGGCAAUCCCCUGGGCCUGCACUGACGCUCAUGCACGAAAGCGUGGGGAGCAACAGGAUUAGAUACCCUGGUAGUCACGCCCUAACGAUGUCACUGGUUG